AUUUCAUCUACUUAGAAAAAAGUGGGAAAGCAGUAAAGGUCAGUGUUUCUUUAACAGCUCAGUCUUUGAAUUCCCCUCACUUCCCUUUUCCCCGCAGCAGAAAGACACUAAGCCCAACUGGGUAAACCUUGCAAAGGGGGCAAAUAAACCCUGGACUGUGCAUGAAGUAGUCAAAAUGAUCUACCUUAAGCAAGAAAACAAGUCACUCACUGCAGAAACCUGCUAAAUGUUCAGCAAUCCACUGAAUAAUUAAGGAGGAGUUUAAAAAUCCUUUGAACUUCAUGAAUUCACCACAUCCAUGGAAGACCAUGCUGGUCUUUAAUUUCCUGCAAAUGUUCCUUCUUUAUUUUCCGGUUGCAAAAACUAUGCAGACUCAAGAAGACGAAGCAAUCCAGAAUCAACAUCCAGCCUCCAGUCUCCACUCUACCCAUGGAAUCAGUAACACCACUAUGACCAGUAACCCUGUCCCAAACACAGCCAAGCUUCCUGCCCACUUGGGCAUCCAGUCCUCCUCCUAGUCCUCUCUCCUUCCAUUUUGCCACCUCCCAUCCUUACACUUGUCCUUGAGCAGUUAUGUAACUGCCCUCUUCCCCUUGAGUUAAAUGUUAAAGAUCUAAGGCUGAUAAAAAUCUGUGAUUUGGGAUUAUUUGCUGGGAUUAUCAGCAGGAUUUUCAUGCUGAAGGCGAAGAAAGAUGCAUUCAGGGAAGAAAGUUUAGGAUAUGAUGAGUCUUGGGUCCAAGGAAUGGGAGAGGACCCACUGGGACCAGUCCUUCUAGUCCACCCUCUCAACCAGGAAAGCCAAUACUGUUACUACUACUAAAAAUAAUAAUAAAGUCUGUUCGAUGCUUCA
rnacentral:lncRNA from 1 species